UUAUGGAGGGAUAAAUUUGUAACUUAUUUGUUGAAAUUACUCUCUCUCCUACCACCACACCCAUCAUUUACGGGAUUCCUAAUAUCAAGCAGUGAUUGUGAGAAUCAAUAUUCAUACUAAUAAUUAUUGCUAGUUUUGUGAUUUAGGUUACGCCAUCUCCCUGCAAAAGCACGCCGGCAGCCACUGCACCGCGCUGCGCCUUCUCCAACGCCGAGCAAAGAGACAGCAACGUCCUUGCUGCGUACUUCGUCGCGAGGCUAGACAGAACCGGCGGAGGAGCACCAUGGAUUUGGAGAGAGUUUGCACACCGAAGAGGAUGUUGAAGAAACUAGGAGCCUUCGCCAAGGAUCCUAUACCGGAGACUUGCAUUACAGUAUGCGAUGUUUUUUAGCUCGACGCUUGUGCUAGAAUUGUGUUAUGUUAAUAUGAAGUAUUGGAUUCGUAUAAUAUUUAUUUUUUAUUCAGAAAAUUUGUAUUUUUAUUCGACAUCUUAUAGUGACAUGUUCACUAUAAUGUACAUAGCUAUAUUGUAUUCAUUGUAUUAGUUAAUUUAUUCAGUUUCUUGUUUUACUUAUUCAAUUAAUAACACAGUGGUAUUUGAUGAA